ensembl:lncRNA
AACUGCUGUCACUGGUGAGAGAUCUCCCAGGACCCCAUCCUGAGUGGGAACUGGAGCAAGAGUUCCAAGCUCCACGUGCCCACCUGUGAGGGCAACGCAGAGACCUUCCUGAGAUGGCCCAAGCCAGGCUGCAGGGAAGAACUAAGUGACAUCUGGAUAUGCUGAAGAAGCCCAAACCCUGUGUCCCAGUGCCUUCACCUACUGAAAAUUUCCCCUCUGCAAAGACAGGAGCUCACCACACUCAGCUAUCUGUCCUUGAGGCUGCAGAUGGACAACUGGACAUUCCUCCCACUCGAGCACCGUGUCCUGUUACUGCAGGAACCACCUCCUGCUGCCCAAACCUCACCCCAGCAGCGUUCAGCCCCUCUGCUCUGGUAGGAAAUGCUAUGUGGAGCCCGGCUACCUCCUGUUAAGCCAAAUCUAACCACACCACCUGCUUACAGGGACUGCUUCAUCCCUGCACCUAUAGCCCAGAGCACCUCAAAUGGGAACAUGCUGACAG